AGCAGCCGCGGUAAUUCCAGCUCCAAUAGCGUAUAUUAAAGUUGUUGCAGUUAAAAAGCUCGUAGCUGAAUUUCGGGAUCAGUUCGCUGGUCGUGCCUUCGGUAUGUACUGGUGUUACUGGUUCCUACCUUCUGACGAAUCGUCAUGUCAUUAAUUUGGUGUGGCGGGGAAUCAGGACUGUUACUUUGAAAAAUUAGAGUGUUUAAAGCAGGCUCGCGCUUGAAUACAUUAGCAUGGAAUAAUGAAAUAGGACGUUCGAUCCUAUUUUGUUGGUUUCUAGGAUUGACGUAAUGAUUAAUAGGGAUAGUUGGGGGCAUUAGUAUUCAAUUGUCAGAGGUGAAAUUCUUGGAUUUAUUGAAGACUAACUACUGCGAAAGCAUUUGCCAAGGAUGUUUUCAUUAAUCAAGAACGAAAGUUAGGGGAUCGAAGACGAUCAGAUACCGUCGUAGU
rnacentral:rRNA from 1 species